CGGCCGCGGGAUUCGAUUAGAGUUUGAUUAUGGCUCANNACGAACGCUGGCGGCGUGCUUAACACAUGCAAGUCGAGCGGUAAGGCCCCUUCGGGGGUACACGAGCGGCGAACGGGUGAGUAACACGUGAGCAAUCUGCCCAUCACAUCGGGAUAAGCCUAGGAAACUGGGUCUAAUACCGAAUACGACCACCCCCGGCAUCGGGUGGUGGUGGAAAGUUCUGGCGGUGAUGGAUGAGCUCGCGGCCUAUCAGCUUGUUGGUGGGGUAACGGCCCACCAAGGCAACGACGGGUAGCCGGCCUGAGAGGGUGACCGGCCACACUGGGACUGAGACACGGCCCAGACUCCUACGGGAGGCAGCAGUGGGGAAUAUUGGACAAUGGGCGAAAGCCUGAUCCAGCAACGCCGCGUGAGGGAUGACGGCCUUCGGGUUGUAAACCUCUUUCAGCAGGGACGAAGCGAAAGUGACGGUACCUGCAGAAGAAGCACCGGCCAACUACGUGCCAGCAGCCGCGGUAAUACGUAGGGUGCGAGCGUUGUCCGGAAUUAUUGGGCGUAAAGGGCUCGUAGGCGGUUUGUUGCGUCGGAAGUGAAAACUCAGGGCUUAACCCUGAGCCUGCUUCCGAUACGGGCAGACUAGAGGUAUGCAGGGGAGAACGGAAUUCCUGGUGUAGCGGUGAAAUGCGCAGAUAUCAGGAGGAACACCGGUGGNNNANGCGGUUCUCUGGGCAUUACCUGACGCUGAGGAG
rnacentral:rRNA from 1 species